rnacentral:rRNA from 1 species
GACGAACGCUGGCGGCGUGCUUAACACAUGCGAGUCGAACGGAAAGGCCCUGCUUUUGUGGGGUGCUCGAGUGGCGAACGGGUGAGUAACACGUGAGUAACCUGCCCUUGACUUUGGGAUAACUUCAGGAAACUGGGGCUAAUACCGGAUAGGAGCUCCUGCUGCAUGGUGGGGGUUGGAAAGUUUCGGCGGUUGGGGAUGGACUCGCGGCUUAUCAGCUUGUUGGUGGGGUAGUGGCUUACCAAGGCUUUGACGGGUAGCCGGCCUGAGAGGGUGACCGGCCACAUUGGGACUGAGAUACGGCCCAGACUCCUACGGGAGGCAGCAGUGGGGAAUAUUGCACAAUGGGCGGAAGCCUGAUGCAGCAACGCCGCGUGCGGGAUGACGGCCUUCGGGUUGUAAACCGCUUUCGCCUGUGACGAAGCGUGAGUGACGGUAAUGGGUAAAGAAGCACCGGCUAACUACGUGC